UGCAGAUGGCAAGCUUCUCUAGCUGAUAUU
rnacentral:piRNA from 1 species